AUCACCAGCCCAGCUUCUAGAAAAUAUCACAAUCCCCUGAGAACAAGGAUGUAUCAGGGUCUUCAUUAAACCCUCCAGUUCUUUAUGAUCUGAGAACAGCUUCUUACAGAGGGAUUCUGGUUUAAAUUGUACCUCUUCCUGUGUCACUGAAAAUUCAAGGAAUAGAUGUUACCAAAACUUACAAAAGCAUGUGGAUCAUUAUGUCGCUAAGUCCUUCAUUUGACCUUCCCUAAGGAGAAACACCUGAACUCAUUACUAC
rnacentral:lncRNA from 1 species